rnacentral:rRNA from 1 species
AGAGUUUGAUCCUGGCUCAGGACGAACGCUGGCGGCGUGCUUAACACAUGCAAGUCGAACGGGGCACCCUUGACUGAGGUUUCGGCCAAAUGAUAGGAAUGCCUAGUGGCGGACUGGUGAGUAACGCGUGAGGAACCUGCCUUCCAGAGGGGGACAACAGUUGGAAACGACUGCUAAUACCGCAUGACAUAUUGAAAGGGCAUCCUUUUGAUAUCAAAGAUUUAUCGCUGGAAGAUGGCCUCGCGU